rnacentral:rRNA from 1 species
GAUGAACGCUGGCGGCGUGCCUAAUACAUGCAAGUCGAGCGAACAGACGAGGAGCUUGCUCCUCUGACGUUAGCGGCGGACGGGUGAGUAACACGUGGAUAACCUACCUAUAAGACUGGGAUAACUUCGGGAAACCGGAGCUAAUACCGGAUAAUAUAUUGAACCGCAUGGUUCAAUAGUGAAAGACGGUUUUGCUGUCACUUAUAGAUGGAUCCGCGCCGCAUUAGCUAGUUGGUAAGGUAACGGCUUACCAAGGCAACGAUGCGUAGCCGACCUGAGAGGGUGAUCGGCCACACUGGAACUGAGACACGGUCCAGACUCCUACGGGAGGCAGCAGUAGGGAAUCUUCCGCAAUGGGCGAAAGCCUGACGGAGCAACGCCGCGUGAGUGAUGAAGGUCUUCGGAUCGUAAAACUCUGUUAUUAGGGAAGAACAAAUGUGUAAGUAACUAUGCACGUCUUGACGGUACCUAAUCAGAAAGCCACGGCUAACUACGUGCCAGCAGCCGCGGUAAUACGUAGGUGGCAAGCGUUAUCCGGAAUUAUUGGGCGUAAAGCGCGCGUAGGCGGUUUUUAAGUCUGAUGUGAAAGCCACGGCUCAACCGUGGAGGGUCA